ACCGUGCUGUGUGAAAGAAGCAUUAAAAAAAAUUAUAUUUUAUUGAUAACGUCGUUAAAUGGGAUUAAACGAGUCAUAGGGGAAACGAUCAAGCGCGUGCGCCUUCAGCCUUAUACGAACGUUACGAAUAUUACGAUUAUUAUAUACGACUAUUGCAAACAUAACAAAUAUUACAAAUAUUGGUUAAGAAUAAAUCAAGGAACAAAAAGAACGGUCCCAACGUUUCUAAUUUCUUGCAAGCUUCCCCAAGGACGUGAAUUAUCCGAUUUAUCUGAAUAAGUUUGGCACAGUGGUCGAACGUAAUCCAUGCUUGUAUUAAGGUCUUCAAAACUAUGCACUAAAGAUUUGGAAAUACCAGAAAAAACUUUCGGGCUAAACUUGUCUGGAUCUUUUAAACCGUGCAGCAUUGCGGUGGUGCAAACGGACACAAGAGAGCCAACGGACGAACUAAGCAACCCC